UGUUUGAAAAGACAAUCAGUUUUAGAUAAACAAUAAGAUCGCCCGACAACAACAUGGGAAGAAUAAUUGAAACUUCAAUACUUAUUGUAAUUCUUUGUGGUACGUUGGGCACGCUAGUUAAAUCCGAAGAAUUCGACCCCGAGGUACCGGGGGUACCAAUACCUGAUGACCAAAUUGUUCUGAAGUUUAAAGAGUUGGCGAAAAAAAUACAAAGAGAACAAAAAAGAUUAGAGCAGCUUAUGCAACAAAUGAUGGAAGCAAAUUAACCUUAUGGGACUCGAAAAUAGCCUUUAUAAACGAAAUAAAUUUAAUUGCAUUGAA